AUCGCUUCUUGGCCUUUUGGCUAAGAUCAAGUGUAGUAUCUGUUCUUAUCAGUUUAACAAAUAAUACUUGUUUCCUUGUGUAUAUUGUGCUUGUUGACUUUAAACUACUCAUU
rnacentral:snRNA from 1 species